rfam:Zea mays cultivar B73 chromosome 4, whole genome shotgun sequence.
AUGUAAAUGAUGAUCUUACUCGGAUUCUCCUUCAAGAGAUCUAGAUGGGUGAUGCAAAUACGAGUUUCUAAUGCG